ensembl:lincRNA
CAGGCAUCUCCCCAUCCUCAGCUGUUUGCCAGUCCCGGGAAAGCACUUCUCAACUCACCAACUCCAGUAGAAAGAAGGGUGUUAAGCAGUGCCAACCCCAUCAUUUACUUCUUCGUGGGCUCCUUUAGGAAGCAGUGGCGGCUACGGCAGCCGGUCCUCAAGCUGGCUCUCCAGAGGGCUCUGCAGGACACUGCUGAGGUGGAUCACAGUGAAGGAUGCUUCAGUCAGGGCACCCUGGAGAUGUCCGGAAGCAGUCUGGUAUAGAGAUGGACAGCCUCUACUUCCAUCAGAUAUAUGUGGCUUUGAGAGGCAACUUUGCCCCUGUCUGUCUGAUCUGCUAAACUUUCUCAGCCCUGAUCUUAAAACAGUUAAGAUAGUCCUUGUGAGGAUUAAGUGAGACAGUGCCUAUGAAACAAACACUAAGUGCAGUGUCUCUGGAACUGCCUUACUCACUGGCCUCCACCACAUCCCCAUGAGAGCCUUUCCAACUCUGGGGUCCAGAACUGUUCCCAUUUUUAAUGAAUCCUAUCUUUGACAGAAGGCUGAAAGCAAUGCAGAAAAGGUCUACAUUUCUUUGGUCACUGCACUUGAUAGGGACUCAAAGAAUGUUAUAUUUUUAAUAAGUUUCUUUUUCUCUUCCAUACAAUUCCUGUCUCAACAAAAUUAGAAAAUUAAAUUUAAAUCUAGCUCCAAAAGAGCAGCUGUCUUUCAUUUGGGUAGAUCUUAGAAUAUUCCCCUAGCUUAAUAAAUCUUUGUUGAAUAAAUGGCUUAAGAAAUGAACAAACUGGUUAAUUUUAUGUUAAACCUCUGAAAAGUUUUUUUUUUUUUACCAGAUCUGAGUAACUGUCUAAAUUUAUUGCUUUCACUACUUUUGAAUUUUGCAAACAUGAAAUUAAGUUUUAAAAUUAGAUAAAUCAAUGUCAACACAUAUUUAAAGUUUGAAGUAGACUGUCUUCCUGUGGUUUCCUUUCACAUGCCAUGCCUUAAAAUCCCAGCUACACGCCUUCCCAUCCCUUCCCCUUUGCCUUUGCCCUAACCCUCCCUCUCUGGGGGCUCUCUAAUUCGUCCUGGAAGUUUCCAGUGGUCUUAUAGACUCUAUGUUUUUGGAGGACAGGCUCUAUGUCAGAUUUACCUUUUAUUCCAAAGAGCUCAGCACAUAUAUUUUAUUAAUUAAAUUGCACAUAUUUUUAAAAGUUAUGUGUUCCACAAAAUCAAAUACUAAUUGUAAAUGCUGCAUCUUUUAAUAAGUUUUAUUAUUUUAAUUGAUGUAUAAUUAAGAGAAUGAUAUGCACAGAUCAUAAAUGUACAGUUUAAUGAGUUUUGUUAAAUGAAUACACCUAUGUGACUCAAACUUUAUUCAAGACAAAAUAUUUUCAUCAUCUCUGAAAGUUCCCCUGUGCUCCUCCCAGUCAUUCCUCCUGCCCCUAGAGGCAACCAUUGUUUCUAUUUCAAUCAACAAGUAUUAGUUUUGCCUGACCUUUAAUUGUAUCUUUUUAGAAUCAUAAUAUGUGUAUUUUUUGUUUCUGGCUCUUGCACUCAACAAACAUAAUGUUUUCAAGAUUUACCUAUGUUAUUGCAUCGCAUAUAUCAGUAGUUUGUUCCUUUCAUAAAGCUGAGUACUAUUUAAUUGUGUGAGUGUACUAUGGUGUAGCUAUUUUCAUAUUGACAGACACAUGUGUGAUGUUUUAUGAAUUUUUUGGCUAUUUU